UGUGGCAAACCACCCAUCAUCAGUCUGUUCCUACUCCUUUUGCCUGUGUUUCUGGUCAUUUCUGGCAUUGAACAAGGACAAAGUGCAGCCACGUGCCAACACAACUUAUACCCUCUAUGUGACGCUUGGCAACAACGUGAGGGCUUCUUCCCUCCCCUCGCUGCACAGCCACCCUCCAAGUUACACGAGCGUCUGGAGCUCUCUCCAAGGUUAGAUCAUGUCCUCUUUGUACCUGGUGAUAUACAAUGAAUCUCUCUUAUUAUGUCACAAAAACUGUGCCUCUUCACACUAGUUAUGAAGAUUUCUGCGGAGGGACGAAUGUAUUUGCAGUCACGGCUGACUCUUCAUGAUGCCAUCUGGGAUUU